rnacentral:rRNA from 1 species
AUUGAACGCUGGCGGCAUGCUUUACACAUGCAAGUCGAACGGUAACAGGCCGCAAGGUGCUGACGAGUGGCGAACGGGUGAGUAAUGCAUCGGAACGUGCCCAGUCGUGGGGGAUAACGCAGCGAAAGCUGUGCUAAUACCGCAUACGAUCUAUGGAUGAAAGCGGGGGACCGUAAGGCCUCGCGCGAUUGGAGCGGCCGAUGUCAGAUUAGGUAGUUGGUGGGGUAAAGGCCUACCAAGCCGACGAUCUGUAGCGGGUCUGAGAGGACGACCAGCCACACUGGGACUGAGACACGGUCCAGACUCCUACGGGAGGCAGCAGUGGGGAAUUUUGGACAAUGGGCGCAAGCCUGAUCCAGCAAUGCCGCGUGCAGGAAGAAGGCCUUCGGGUUGUAAACUGCUUUUGUACGGAACGAAACGGUCUGGGUUAAUACCCUGGGCUAAUGACGGUACCGUAAGAAUAAGCACCGGCUAACUACGUGCCAGCCGCCGCCGUAACAC